rnacentral:rRNA from 1 species
ACACGAGCGGCGAACGGGUGAGUAACACGUGGGUGAUCUGCCCUGCACUUCGGGAUAAGCCUGGGAAACUGGGUCUAAUACCGGAUAUGACCUUCGGCUGCAUGGCUGAGGGUGGAAAGGUUUACUGGUGCAGGAUGGGCCCGCGGCCUAUCAGCUUGUUGGUGGGGUAAUGGCCUACCAAGGCGACGACGGGUAGCCGACCUGAGAGGGUGACCGGCCACACUGGGACUGAGACACGGCCCAGACUCCUACGGGAGGCAGCAGUGGGGAAUAUUGCACAAUGGGCGAAAGCCUGAUGCAGCGACGCCGCGUGAGGGAUGACGGCCUUCGGGUUGUAAACCUCUUUCAGCAGGGACGAAGCGAAAGUGACGGUACCUGCAGAAGAAGCACCGGCUAACUACGUGCCAGCAGCCGCGGUAAUACGUAGGGUGCAAGCGUUGUCCGGAAUUACUGGGCGUAAAGAGUUCGUAGGCGGUUUGUCGCGUCGUUUGUGAAAACUCACAGCUCAACUGUGAGCCUGCAGGCGAUACGGGCAGACUUGAGUACUGCAGGGGAGACUGGAAUUCCUGGUGUAGCGGUGAAAUGCGCAGAUAUCAGGAGGAACACCGGUGGCGAAGGCGGGUCUCUGGGCAGUAACUGACGCUGAGGAACGAAAGCGUGGGUAGCAAACAGGAUUAGAUACCCUGGUAGUCCACGCCGUAAACGGUGGGCGCUAGGUGUGGGUUCCUUCCACGGGAUCUGUGCCGUAGCU